rnacentral:rRNA from 1 species
ACAUAACUGAUGCCUCCGCGUAUCGACUUUGUGCGCAUUUUAGCUAUUAUGUGUUCUUUUAAUUAAAAUGAUUCUUUUUAAGAUUCAUCUAUUAAAAAUUUGCUUCGGCAUAAUUUUUUUUGAUGAUCUUGUUACUUUGAGUAAAUUAGAGUGUUCAAAGCAAACAGAUAUAGCAUUUGUGCGUUUGAAUACUACAGCAUGGAAUAACAAAAUUGAACAAGUCAGAAUUUUUUUGUUCUUUUUUCUUAUUUUGGCUUAGUUACGAUUAAUAGGAGUAGCUUGGGGGCAUUUGUAUUCAGAUGUCAGAGGUGAAAUUCUUAGAUUUUCUGGAGACAAACAACUGCGAAAGCAUUUGCCUAAAAUACUUCCAUUAAUCAAGAACGAAAGUUAAGGGAGUGAAGACGAUCAGAUACCGUCGUAAUCUUAACCAUAAACUAUGCCGACUAGGCUUUGGAUGAAAGAUUUUAAAAUAAGAGUUUUUCUUUUCUCUCCGGAGAUUAGAACUCUUAGAUUGCUUCCUUCAGUGCCUUAUGAGAAAUCAAAGUCUUUGGGUUCUGGGGCGAGUAUUCGCGCAAGCGAGAAAGUUAAAAGAAUUGACGGAAGGGCACCACCAGGCGUGGAGCUUGCGGCUUAAUUUGACUCAACACGGGAAAACUCACUAGUUUAAGACAAGAGUAGGAUUGACAGAUUAAUAGCUCUUUCUUGAUUUCUUGGAUGGUGAUGCAUGGCCGUUUUUAGUUCGUGAAUAUGAUUUGUCUGGUUAAUUCCGAUAACGAACGAGAUCUUAACCUGCUAAUUAGCGGCAAAUACGAUAUAUUCUUAUGUAGAAUUGAAUAUAGUGGAUUUGUUGGAUUUUGAAGAAAAUAUUGGAAUUACGUUAAAUGUGAUUCCUUUCCCUUUUCUACUUAAUUUAACAUUUCCAUCUUAAUUUCUUUUUUGCGUAUGAAUGUAUUUGCUUGAUUGUAAAGCUUCUUAGAGGAACGAUGUGUG